GGCCGUUUAAAGUGGCGCUUGCGGCGCGGGGAGGGGAUGGCGGAGCCGGCCGACUAUCCCCCGUUCCAGCUGGGGAAGCCGCGCUUCGAGCAGACUUCAUUUUAUGGCAGAUUCAGGCACUUCUUGGACAUCAUCGAUCCGCGCACUCUCUUUGUGACCGAGAGUCGCCUGAAGGAAGCUGUGCAGUUGUUGGAGGAUUACAAACAUGGGACCUUGCCCCCAGGAGUCACCAACAAGGAGCUGUGGGGAGCUCAAAAAAUCAAGCAGGCCAUCAUCCAUCCCGAUACAAAUGAGACCAUCUUCAUGCCUUUCCGAAUGUCAGGUUACAUUCCCUUUGGAACACCCAUCGUUGUUGGUCUUCUCUUGCCCAACCAGACACUGGCAUCCACUGUGUUUUGGCAGUGGUUGAAUCAGAGCCACAAUGCUUGCGUCAACUAUGCAAACCGCAACGCGACAAAGCCUUCUCCGACGUCCAAGUUCAUCCAGGGCUACUUGGGAGCUGUCAUAAGUGCUGUCUCGAUAGCAGGGCAGAUAGAGGGCAGGAGACAUGGAGAAGUGAUGUUGGCAGAGCUUUGUCACCCCGAGAAGCUGACAGGCUUUGGUGGGCCUUAAUGUUCUGGUUCAGAGAGCAAACAAGUUUACCCCCGCCACUCGUCUCUUGAUCCAGAGGUUUGUGCCAUUCCCUGCUGUCGCUAGUGCCAAUAUCUGCAAUGUUGUCCUGAUGAGGCACACGGAGCUGGAAGAAGGAAUUGAUGUUUUGGACAAUAACGGACACAUUGUCGGGUCUUCCAGAAUUGCUGCAAAACACGCACUGCUAGAAACAGCCCUGACCAGAGUGGUUCUGCCAAUGCCUAUACUGGUUCUACCUCCAAUUAUUAUGUCCAUACUGGAAAAAACAUCACUUCUGAGGUCACGUCCCCGGAUGAUUCUCCCGGUCCAAAGCCUUGUGUGCCUCGCGGCCUUUGGCCUGGCCCUCCCCUUGGCCAUCAGUCUCUUCCCGCAGAUGUCCGAGAUUGAGACAUCUCAUCUGGAGCCAGAAAUUGCAAUGGCCACCACCAGCAAGACUGUAGUCUACAAUAAAGGAUUGUAAGUGGAAGCAGCCCAUCUCAGCCCAGAAGAUAUGGGGAGGGAAAGGGGGAAACUUGAGAUCCCGACUGGGAAAAAGAAAACAACAACAAGCUAAAACAAAUCCUAGAGCUCAGCGAUAGUAACGUCUUACUGUUCCCGGCCAACCGGGAGUAAAUUAACACUUGCAGAGAACUGACACCUCACACCAGUCUAAAAGAUUAAUAUAAAAAGUUUUACAUUAGCAACAGGAGCAGCAACAACAAAACUUCACAUUCAAACACUUUAGAGAAGUAGCUGAAGAAGAAUCUCAGAACUUAAUAGCACUGCAUGGAGGGAUGUUUAACGGCGUGUUUACGUGGUUAUACCUAGCUACAUGACUACUACUAACUUUACCCAGCAACUUUUGUGUUCUCCACACUGAUACUGCACAGAAGUAAUUCCAUAGAGGUCAACGGGUGCAUGAACGUGAAGCUCUUGAUAGGGUGUUUGAUAAGGGUCCUGUAUUGAUUCCAUGCCGAUCCUGCCCCUGCGAUCAUGAGCAAAAGCAAUCUUCAAUGGUUCAACUUGCAAUGCUCCAUGAGCACAGCAAAGGUCACAGCCUGUGCACCUUCCAUCUCUCCAUCUUCUGCAGGUGGUCCUGGUGGCAUCCUGACUUUCAUUGCACUCCUAAGUCUUGAUGUCGCAGCAGCCUAAAGCUGGGCAUAUCCACAAUGGCUUUUGCCUGGGCUUCAAGGUGCUGGAAAGCCAACGUGCCCACAUGUUGAGUAGGAAAGGAUCUUAUAGCCAGAAAUACUACAAAUCCACUCUUUUCUUUUGCACAGACGUGAAGGUUGGGGUUGGCCCCACCAGACAUAGACCCUCUAAAAGUAAGGUUGUUAAUCUAAGCUAAUUGGCUAAGCCACGCUUGGCUAAACUAAUUGUCAGAGGGCAGAAUGUGCUCUCUUCUUUUCUCUUCUCUUCUCUUCUCUUCUCUUCUCUUCUCUUCUCUUCUCUUCUCUUCUCUUC